GAUGAAGAACGUAGUGAAAUGCGAUAAGUAGUGUGAAUUGCAGAAUUCAGUGAAUCAUCGAAUCUUUGAACGCACAUUGCGCCCGCUAGUAUUCUGGCGGGCAUGCCUGUUCGAGCGUCAUUUCAACCAUCAAGCCCUGUUUAGGCUUGUGUUGGGGCCCUGCGGUUGCCGCAGCCCCCUAAAUGCAGUGGCGGGCUCGUUGUCACUCCGAGCGCAGUAGCGUAUCUCGCUCUGGGCGUGGCGGCGGGUGCUAGCCGUGAAACACCCACUAAGGUUGACCUCGGAUCAGGUAGGAAUACCCGCUGAACUUAAGCAUAUCAAUAAGCGGAGGA
rnacentral:misc_RNA from 1 species